rnacentral:rRNA from 1 species
GUGCCAGCAGCCGCGGUAAGACAGAGGGUGCGAACGUUGCUCGGAAUCACUGGGCGUAAAGCGCGUGUAGGCGGGCGAUCAAGUCAGGUGUGAAAUCCCUGGGCUCAACCCAGGAACUGCAUCUGAAACUGGUUGCCUCGAGUGUCGGAGAGGGAAGCGGAAUUCCUGGUGUAGAGGUGAAAUUCGUAGAUAUCAGGAGGAACACCGGUGGCGAAGGCGGCUUCCUGGACGACUACUGACGCUGAGACGCGAAAGCGUGGGGAGCAAACAGGAUUAGAUACCCUGGUAGUCCACGCCGUAAACGAUGAGUGCUAGGUGUCUCGGGUAUUGACCCCUGAGGUGCCGUAGCUAACGCGUUAAGCACUCCGCCUGGGAUCUACGGCCGCAAGGCUAAAACUCAAAUGAAUUGACGG